UCCGACCUGAACUCAGACGUGAAG
rnacentral:rRNA from 1 species